rnacentral:lncRNA from 1 species
GUGCACACUGUACAUCACACCGUACGGUGCACAGCAGACGAUCCGUGUUCGAUAGCAAAAGUUAAUACAACUCCUUUCUUGAUAGAGCAAUGCUAUAGUCAUCUAACAAUUAUUCAGAAAAGUUACUCAGGCAUCUUGUACCAAUCAGUUCGCUUCAUUAGAUAUCAUAAUUCACGGUAUCAACCCAGAGGAAGCAACAACAAUACACCACACCAGCUGAGCGACUGGUUGAGUGAUAUUUUUGAUCGGUCACCCA